GCGAGGGUUGCCAAGCCAGGUCAAAGGCGCUGGCUUGAGGGGCCAGUCUCGUAGGGGUUCGUGAGUUCAAAUCUCACCCCUCGCA
rnacentral:tRNA from 1 species